GAAGAUCCUCUAGAAGAAGUUCCAGCCGUCUUCUUGUCCUUGUAAGCUGAUAUCAGAAAUCAUAACACAGCACACAGAAAUUCACCAUCAUAUAGUAAAUAGAGAAAAUGGAAUUAGAAGCCUUAUACUGUGUCAAUAACAAUAAAAAUAUCAGGGCAAAUCAAGGAGUACAAUUAAUGAAAAUUUGAAACUAAACCAAUUAGUAUAAUGAUCACUAACCCUAGAAUGAUACUAUCUUAAUUUUUUAGUUCAUUUACUCAUUUAGCUCUGACUAGGACUCAAACUUGAAAUCUCACAGCCCUAAGACAAUUCUAGUACCAUUAAACUAAAGCUCACUAGUAUUUUCGUUGAGAAGACGGCAUAAAUGAAUGGCAUCUUAAUUUUUUAGCAGUUAGUUUUAUCCUCUUUUCAAACUCUUCCCCAAGAUCAUUAAUCCUUCCCCGCGUCAUUAAUUCAACCAGCACCACAUUGUACAUUAAAAACACAAACAGCCAAUAUAAAAAAUUGUUCAGCUUCCCACUCCAAAAAUCAAAGACUUUCCAGACAUCUAUAUCUACAUCCUCAGACUUUUUUAGAUCAUUUAAAUUUUGAACACUUCAUUUUUUUUUUUUUUUUUUU
rnacentral:misc_RNA from 1 species